rnacentral:rRNA from 1 species
UACGGGGGGGGUAAGCGUUGUUCGGAAUUACUGGGCGUAAAGGGCUCGUAGGCGGCCAACUAAGUCAUACGUGAAAUCCCUCGGCUUAACCGGGGAACUGCGUCUGAUACUGGAUGGCUUGAGUUUGGGAGAGGGACGCGGAAUUCCAGGUGUAGCGGUGAAAUGCGUAGAUAUCUGGAGGAACACCGGUGGCGAAGGCGGCGUCCUGGACCAACACUGACACUGAGGAGCGAAAGCCAGGGGAGCAAACGGG